rnacentral:rRNA from 1 species
GACGUAGGGUGCAAGCGUUGUCCGGAAUUAUUGGGCGUAAAGCGUUCGUAGGCGGCCUGCCAAGUCUGAUGUUAAAUCCCGGGGCUCAACCCCGGAUCAGCAUUGGAUACUGGAAAUCUAGAGUACGGUAGAGGUAAGGGGAAUUCCUAGUGUAGCGGUGAAAUGCGUAGAUAUUAGGAGGAACACCGGUGGCGAAAGCGUCUUACUGGACCGAAACUGACGCUGAGGGACGAAAGCCAGGGGAGCAAAUAGG